CCUACGGGUGGCAGCAGUGGGGGAUAUUGCACAAUGGGGGAAACCCUGAUGCAGCGACGCCGCGUGUGGGAAGACGGUCCUCUGGAUUGUAAGCCCCUGUCCCAGGGGACGAAGAUGUCGGUACCUGGGGAGGAAGCUCCGGCUAACUCCGUGCCAGCAGCCGCGGUAAAACGGGGGGGGCGAGCGUUGUCCGGAAUUACUGGGUGUAAGGGGCGCGUAGGCGGGAUGGCAAGUCAGCUGUGAAAGCCUAUGGCUUAACCAUAGAACUGCAUUUGAAACUGUUAUUCUAGAGUAUGGGAGAGGUAGGUGGAAUUCGUGGUGUAGCGGUAAAAUGCGUAGAUAUCAAGAGGAAUACUCAUGGCGAAGGCGACCUGCUGGAACAUAACUGACGUUGAUGCGCGAAAGCGUGGGGAGCAAACAGGAUUAGAUACCCGAGUAGUC
rnacentral:rRNA from 1 species